rnacentral:tRNA from 1 species
GGUUCGAUGGCGUAGUUGGUUAUCGCAUCUGUCUAACACCGAGUUGGGCCAAACAGCCAAACUUCGGGAUCACAGAAGGUCCUCAGUUCGAGCCUGGGUCGAAUCA